CUUCCGAUGGCGACCGGCGCACGGGUGAGUAACACGUAGUCCAACCUGCCUCAUACUCGGGGAUAGCCUUUCGAAAGAAAGAUUAAUACCCGAUGUCAUAGUCCUACCGCAUGAUGGGAUUAUUAAAGAAUUUCGGUAUGGGAUGGGGAUGCGUUCCAUUAGUUAGUUGGCGGGGUAACGGCCCACCAAGACAACGAUGGAUAGGGGUUCUGAGAGGAAGGUCCCCCACAUUGGAACUGAGACACGGUCCAAACUCCUACGGGAGGCAGCAG
rnacentral:rRNA from 1 species